GGGGGUGAAAGGGUUCGACUUAAGAUAUGUCGGGCAAGAACAGCAUGCCGCGGAGGUAAGGUUAGCCGCGUUAACAACCCUUACAAAAAUUAAACGCAAACACGCAAGUGUCACGUUUAGGAACAUUGGUCCAGCCGUCUUUGGCGGCCAGGCCGAUGUUCGUACCAGCCUUCGGACUUAAUUAAGCCCGAAGCCUCUAACUGUCCAGCCUACGGGAUAGAUUAGAGCCCUAGUAGGAUAGCGCCGGCGGUUAGCCUUCCAAACCGGGGCGAAAUUUAAAAGGCUGCGUUCCGUAAAACCCUGCCUGGUAGGAUUUACGGGGCUAAGGCUUGAAAUAUCAGACUAAGCAUGUAGCGGUUCCUGUUCGAUUACUUAAGGACCGGGGUUCGAUUCCCCGCACCUCCACCA
rnacentral:tmRNA from 1 species